CCUGCAGAUGCCACCACCUCUCGUAGAGACACCAUUGGGAUUCAGUGCCAGUGGCAUCACUGAAGAGAGGGUUCCUCGCCUUCACUCACCAUCACAGCUUAAUGUUAAGCUCAUGUCAAACUGGUCCUGUGGCCACUGUUGGAAGACGUGCAAUCUCUGCCCUUAGGAGAUGGGAAGAGGUGAGCCUUUCCGAGAACACAACAAACAGAACUGCUUCUGCCUCCAUAGGACAGUUGCCUGAAGACUUCUCUUCAGUUCUGGUUGCUCCGGCUGCUGAGGAGGGGCCCCACUUCCCACUGCAGGAAGCCUCCAGGAGAGAGAUCAUGGGGAACACAGUGGACAGUAGAGGAUGCUAAUACCUGCUACCAGGGAUGCUGGUCUUCCCUCCUCCAGGAAGACCAUCUGCUUGGGAGCUCCUGAACAGACCAUGCCGUGGAAAUCAUCAGUAUUCUCAUCUGAUCAGCUCUGAGAUCUUUCUUCCAUUUCAUACUAGGUCUCACUGUCCUUUCCCUUUUCUCCUAUCACCACUUGAUUUCCAGGAAUAUAACCCUACCGUAACAAACAGCACAUAGUCCUUCUUGCACAAGGAACCAAGAAUAGCUAAGGAACAUAAAUUUCCAACAUGGAAAAACCCUGGAGGAGACGAGCCCCUCAGACCUUCUGGGACUGUUUCCUGUUUGUUUAGGACACAGCCCUCGUUCUCUUUGCAUGUUGUUUUACAUAUCACCUUUGCAGGAUCAAGUUGCAUUUAGCCUUCAAGAGCAAUUCUCCUGGCAUUAGUUAUACAUUCCUUCUGCAAGAACCUUGACCCUCUGCACAGCUCGAGCACCUGCCCUGUGAACAGCCCUGGCAAAGUGAAUGGGCAAUGCAGGAGCUGCUCUUGUGUCUCUCAUGAAGAAGACAGGAUCUGGCACUUUGGUCCAUAGUAUCUGUGGUUUGGAGCAAUAAGCCCAGCUCCUGGCUGGUGAUUGCCAGUGAGAAACCAAGGGUUAGAAGUAUGGCAUCAGAUAAGGCUUCUGAGUGUGCCUGGCGCUGUCACCAACACCCAGACCUUCCUCUGCCUUUCUCUGCAGCAGAAACAGCAUUUGAGUAGCACUCGUCCACCUUGAUAUGAAACUUGCCUUAGAGCAGAGCAGGAAGUAGAUCCUGACAGCCCAGACACCAGCCCCGAUGCCAAACUGUCUGGCACGAGGCACAGAGCCCCUUUGUGGGUGCUGAGGACAAUCCUGAAGCUGCGUCAGAUGGCCCAGAGGUCACAGCCUGGCAUACCCUGGCAGUAUGCAUUGCCCUGUGCACGGUCCCUCUGCCCGCACCCAAUAGCAGGUACACAGACCUACAUUUAUACAUGUUUUUUCCUUCUCCAUGUUUCAAAUCAGCCUAAGGGGCUUCCUUGUUCAUACUACAGUUAUACGGGGAGAAAGAAACAACCCUGUUCCUAGUAUGUUCUCCUUUUCCUUGGUGCUGUGCCACUCCUUCUGAGACCCUUUGGAGCUCAAGAAGCUUCCUUCCAGUCCUCCUAAGGAAGAAUGAGGAAGAACUAUGAUGAACUGCCCCAGCCUGCCGUCUUCACUGGAAGGAUGUGCCAUUCAUGGUGGACUUUCUUCCUCCUCAAUUUUGGUCUGCUUGGUUUCAUUUUUGUAUGUUUUCGUAGUAGUCUGUGUCCCCCGGUUCCCAGUUACUCACUUUUUCCGUUCUUUGUUUCCUUGAAAGCUGCUUUCCCUGACUCGCACGGUUGCACACUCCACUGCUCGCGUGCUGUGCUUUGCAUUUAUGGAGUGGGACUGCUGGGGUUCUCCUCUGCCUGCCCUCACCCACCUCACACAAUCUAUAGUGCCAGACCCAUGCUGGAUAACUGCUUGCUAUUCCUAGGAACAAAAGCAAAACUAAGUCAAAUUAAGACAACAGCAAUUGUGUAGACAAUUUCUAUUGUAUCUAGAGAAGUUAAAAUCAGCUGAAGCUAUGACAGCCCAGAGAAGUCCUGAGAUCCUUCACUGUGAGAUAAAUACACCACCUUCGGUUUA